UACGGGGGGAGCAAGCGUUGUUCGGAUUUACUGGGCGUAAAGAGCGCGCAGGCGGUCGAUCAAGUCGCGUGUGAAAGCCCCGGCUCAACUGGGGAGGGUCACGCGAUACUGAUCGACUCGAAGGCAGGAGAGGGUAGUGGAAUUCCCGGUGUAGUGGUGAAAUGCGUAGAUAUCGGGAGGAACACCAGUGGCGAAGGCGACUACCUGGCCUGUUCUUGACGCUGAGGCGCGAAAGCCAGGGGAGCAAACGGG
rnacentral:rRNA from 1 species